rnacentral:rRNA from 1 species
AGAGUUUGAUCAUGGCUCAGAAUCAACGCUGGCGGCGUGCCUAACACAUGCAAGUCGAACGAGAAAGUGGAGCAAUCCAUGAGUAAAGUGGCGCACGGGUGAGUAACACGUGACUAACCUACCCUUGAGUGGGGGAUAACCUGGGGAAACCUUGGCUAAUACCGCAUAACACCUACGGGUCAAAGGAGCAAUUCGCUUAAGGAGGGGGUCGCGGCAGAUUAGUUAGUUGGCGGGGUAAUGGCCCACCAAGACAGUGAUCUGUAUCCGGCCUGAGAGGGCGCACGGACACACUGGAACUGAAACACGGUCCAGACUCCUACGGGAGGCAGCAGUGGGGAAUUUUGCGCAAUGGGGGAAACCCUGACGCAGCAACGCCGCGUGGAGGAUGAAGUCCCUUGGGACGUAAACUCCUUUCGACCGGGACGAUUAUGACGGUACCGGAAGAAGAAGCCCCGGCUAACUUCGUGCCAGCAGCCGCGGUAAUACGAGGGGGGCGAGCGUUGUUCGGAAUUAUUGGGCGUAAAGGGUGCGUAGGCGGUUCGGUAAGUUUCGUGUGAAAUCUUCGGGCUCAACUCGAAGCCUGCACGAAAUACUGCCGGGCUUGAGUGUGGGAGAGGUGAGUGGAAUUUCCGGUGUAGCGGUGAAAUGCGUAGAUAUCGGAAGGAACACCUGUGGCGAAAGCGGCUCACUGGACCACAACUGACGCUGAUGCACGAAAGCUAGGGGAGCAAACAGGAUUAGAUACCCCAGUAGUCC